AAGAAUUUAAGUUAAAUAAACUAGUAGCCUUCAAAGCUGAAUAUAUUAGUAUUAAUCUUUUAAUUCUUA
rnacentral:tRNA from 2 species